GUGGGGAAUCUUAGACAAUGGGCGCAAGCCUGAUCUAGCCAUGCCGCGUGAGUGAUGAAGGCCCUAGGGUUGUAAAGCUCUUUCAGCUGGGAAGAUAAUGACGGUACCAGCAGAAGAAGCCCCGGCUAACUCCGUGCCAGCAGCCGCGGUAAUACGGAGGGGGCUAGCGUUGUUCGGAAUUACUGGGCGUAAAGCGCGCGUAGGCGGACUGAAAAGUUGGGGGUGAAAUCCCGGGGCUCAACCUCGGAACUGCCUUCAAAACUAUCAGUCUGGAGUUCGAGAGAGGUGAGUGGAAUUCCGAGUGUAGAGGUGAAAUUCGUAGAUAUUCGGAGGAACACCAGUGGCGAAGGCGGCUCACUGGCUCGAUACUGACGCUGAGGUGCGAAAGCGUGGGGAGCAAACAGGAUUAGAUACCCCAGUAGUCC
rnacentral:rRNA from 1 species